rnacentral:lncRNA from 1 species
AAGCGCGGGUGGCGGGGGUCGGGAGAGGCGUCAGGAUCCCUGGCGCCGCCUGAGCCAGCGGCUGCUAGGAGGCUGUGUCCGCAAGCCAGCGGGGCGAGGCGGCUGGGCCCUGCGCGUCAGGUCCCGGCCUGGGGCACCGGGGCUGCCAGCGUCGGAGGAGGCCUGAGAACUGGGAGGAAGCUGGAGAAAAGAUGCCCUCUGAAUCUUUGUGUUUGGCUGCCCAGGCUCGCCUUGACACCGAAUGGUUGAAAACAGAUAUACAGAUGAUAGUGUCGAACCAAGUGGAACAAAGAAAGAAGAUCUGAAUGACAAAGAGAAAAAAGAUGAAGACGAAACUCCUGCACCUGUAUAUAGGGCCAAGUCAAUUCUGGAGACCUGGGUGUGGGUCAAGCAACCAGGAAACGGAAGCCCAAAGAGGAGGGGAGCUUACAGCAGGCCCUGGACUAGGGAUUAACACAAAAACAACAGCAACAAAUCUGAUUUAAGCUUCACACAUGAGACCGGCCAGCCAAGACUCACAUCCUCAGGCGAGUGGCAGCCCCCCGAAGUGGUUGUCUCAGGGUUAGUGCCAUGAUUUAUUUUCUUCUUUUUGGUGUCGGUUGCUCCGGUACCAACACCAGCAAUGUUCCACUGACGAUAGUCUGUGAACUGUGGAAAAGAGGAGCAGUGAUACUCAUGAGAACUACAAGCUCCUACAGUCACUUUACAGUUUAUACAAAAUACUCUCAUAGACGAUCUGAUUUAAUGCCACCAACGACUGUACGAGGUGUUGUCGCAAUCACUUAGUGACUGAGAGGGAUUGAUACCAUGGCUAAAAGAAAGGCAAUAAUGGAACUGAAACUCAGUCUUCUGACUCUGAGCUCUGGGGUGUUGCCACAAAUCAGCAGCUGCCAGAGACCAAAACCAGAGGCAGAGGUAGGAAAGUAAAAAGUAGGCAGGAAGGUGUACACUGUGUGGUUUACAGUCGUACAUCCUCUUAGAGUUAUGUAUCCUCAGGGCAGAAGGCAGCCUUUCUGUUAAAUGUGGGAAUUAAACAGAAAGAGGACAACCCAAGCUGCAUUUCAGAGAGAAGUCUUGUAUACUCUUUGAAAUCUAUGUGCCUAUCAUCCCUAAGAACAUUAAUGUUUUGUCUCUCCCACGAGAAUCAAGGGAAACUGAUGCUUCAGAAAGAUGCCCCAUCUGUAUCCUGUGGCACUCAAAGUACCCCAGGUUGAGAUGAGAUGAGGAAGAUUCAAGUUGUCAAGUCCAGUUUCCCAAGAUCUCUUGCACAGAAGAUGAGCAAAUCUCACUUCAAAGAUCACUGACUGAUGGGCACUCUGGUCCCAGAACCAUGGAGAAUUCAAAUAUGAGGUGGAUAACUUAGAAAAAACUGUUAAAGUCUCUCUGGAGAGUAGAAGCCUGGGAGAAAACCAAACCAAACCCAUUCUCCCAUCAGUGCUGCGCCCAAGUUGCCUCUUUGAGAUUGGCGUGGGGUCACAGGGUUGGGACCCAGGUACUUGGAGACGUGAGCCCAAAGAGCCCAGGGAAGUCAGGCUUGGGGCAGUGGUAGGUGAGGGCUGAGUAUGGAGUGGGGAGCCCCAGGAGUCACCUGCCCAAAGUCACCCUGGGGUGACUGGUGAGGGCAGGUGCUGGGGCAUCCAGUUCCUUGGAAACGUGAGCCCGAAGGGCCCAGGGAGAUCCGUUUUUGGACAAUAGGAGGUGAGGGCAGAGUACCAAGCAGGGAGCCCCACGAGUCACCGGCUGAAAGUCACCCUGGGGUGACCGGUGAGGGCAGCGGCCGGACUGCUGAGGGGUUGGGGCUGACACAAGAUUUUGGUUGGGGGAGCCCAGAGGCACUGGGGGGGCCCAGCCCUGUGUGCCUCUGGAGUGACACGGAUUCUGGCAGCUGUUCUGCCAUCAGAGGGGACCUGGGGCUGGGUUGGGGUUGGGGUGCUGCAAUCCGAUGCAUUUUACCUUUCUCUUGGCCCCAGCCAAUUUUCUGUGUCAGGUUUUUUCUGACAUCAUGGGGUGGGGAGGGAGGUGGGGUUGGGGCCACAUUGGCGUGAUCCAGGCGAGGACAGUGAUAUGCCUCCAGUCACGUACCACGCAGCUAUGUGACUGAGCCACAGGAGGUGUCACCAGGGUCUCACUAGAAUGCAGAAAAGGGGCGUGGCCUUAAUGAUCCAAGCCCAUUGGUCAAUGAGAAAGAUGAAAGGGAAAGGAGGCGGGGCCAGGCAGCUGCGUGUCAUGAAGGUCCUGUGAUGUCACAAGGAAAGCUGCCCAUGCAACUGCUGUCCCCGCCCACUCUGGGAGAGAGGCGGGGCUGGCUUUCACUUUCUAAACUUUAAAACUUUAUCACCUUAAUUGAGGUACAAAUCCUGUUGUAAUGGAAAAUUUACAGCGUGUUUAAUGAUUAGUAAAGCAGAUUAUAUUAUCCAACAUUCCAAUAAGAUAAAAUAAUCACAGUGAUUUCUCUUUUUUGGAAAAAGUUUCUCUUAUUCUCCUACAUUAUUGUUAAGUUUUUUUUUUUUAAACUAGAGACAUGUCUAAUAUAUUUAAAAACACAAAGCUUUUGAGGUGGGCGUGGUGGCUCAUGCCUGUAAUCCCAGCACGUUGGUAGGCUGAGAUGGGCAUAUCACCUGAGAUCAGGAGUCAAGACCAAAAUUUUAGUAUUUUAGUGUGUAUUUUAGUAUUUAUUUUAGUAUUUAAUACAUCAUUUAGGGCUACAUGUAGCCACAGAAAGAAUAAAUCUGAUUCAGUGACUUAAAGAAAUAUAGAUUUCAUUUUUGUCACUUAAAAUGUUCAGAGGAAGGCAGUCCAGGGUUCUUUUCAGUUUCCUGAUACUUUCUUAGCCAGGUUUUUAUUCUUGUGGUUAAAAUAUGGCUGCUGUUUUUCCAGGCCUUGGAUUGCCUUCCAAGGAGGGAAAGAAGAAAGGUCAGAAGGCUGAGUUUCUCUCUUUUUAGCUGAAAAACAUAGAUUUCUCAAAAGUUGUAAGAUUAUACUGCAAUUCAAUUUUCAUUCCUUUUUUUUUUUUUUUUUUGAAACGCAGUCUUGCUCUGUUGCCAGGCUGGAGUACAGUGGCACAAUCUCGGCUCACUGUCACAAUGUCCGCCUCCAUGGUUCAAGCGAUUCUCCUGCCUCAGCCUCCCUAAUAGCUAGGAAUACAGGCGCAUGACACCACGCCCGGCUCAUUUCUUUUUGUAUUUUUAGUAGAGACGAGAUUUCACCAUGUUGGCCAGGCUGGUUUUGAACUCCAGACCUUGUGAUCCGCCCGCCUCUGCCUCCCAAAGUGCUAGGAUUAGAGGCGUGAGCCACCGCGCCUGGCCUGCAAUUUUCAUCUUUUGGCUGCAAAUAAGUUAUGUCACUAUUCUCAGCUGGGGGAGUGUUUAACUCACAUGUUGCUUCCUCUCUGUUAGACAGGUUUUAAGAUUUAUGAAUAGGUACUGAAUUGUAUCAAUUGCUUUUUUCUUUCUUGAUUGAGCAAUGUUUUUUCUUAUCUUUUUAUGUUGAUAAGGUAACUUAACAGUGAUUGGCUUUUGAAUGUUGAACAUUGCAUUUCUGGAAUUAAAUCAACUUUGUUGUGAUAAAUGAUUAAUACCAUAUUAUGUAUGGUUGAGAUGGGCUUGCUCCUAGUUCAUUUGGUAGUUUUGUACUUAUGUUCACAAGAGAAAGUGGAGUCUAAUUUUUUUUUUUCUGGUGAUUUUUGUUCGUUUGUUUGUUUGUUUGUUUGUUUGUUUUUGCCAUGGAGUCUGGCUCUGUUAUCCAGGCUGGAAUGCAGUGGCGUGAUCUCAACUCAUUGCAAGCUCCACCUUCUGGGUUCAUGCCAUUCUCCUGCUUCAGCCUCCUGAGUAGCUGGGACUACAGGCGCCCAACACCACACCUGGCUAAUUUAUUGUAUUUUUUAGUAGAGACGGGGUUUCACCUUGUUAGCCAGGAUGGUCUCGAUCUCCUGACCUCGUGAUCCACCCGCCUCGGCCUCCCAAAGUGCUGGGAUUACAGGCUUGAGCCACCACGCCCAGACUUGUGAGGUUUUAAUAUGAAGUAUUAAAGCUAUGCUGGUUAGACAAUUUGGAAAAUGUUUCUUCUCCUAUUUCUGACAGAGUUUAUGUAAGAUGUGUGCUAUUUCUUCCUUAAGCAUUUGGAAAGAAUUCACUUAUUAAGCCAUGUGAGACUGUAGUUUUCUUUAUAAGGUGUUUAACUACAGGUUCAAUUACAUAUAUAUAAAUAUUCAUUUUGGUAACCUGUGUUUGCUGAAUCAAUUUGUUCAUUUUAUCGAAAAUUUCAAAGUUAUUCUAUUAUUCAUUUAUCUUUUUAAUACUUAUAAAGUCUCCGGUUAGAGUUUGUGCCUUUUGUCUGUUUUGUUAAUCAAUCUUGCUGGAGGCCAUCAAUUUUAUUAGUGUUUCAAAAAAGCAAACUUUGAUUUUAUUCAUCCCUUUACCAUACUGAAAAUGUUUUGCUUAAUUUCCAAACUUAUAGUUCCACUGUGAUUAAAUAUUUGUAUAACUAAAACUCUGUGGAAUUUGUGUCUUCUCAAUGAUUGAAAAUAUGAUUAAUUUUUAUAAAUAUUGCUUCUGCACUUGAAAAGGAUAUGUAUUCUGCAUGUUGAGCGUAGUGUACCACGUAUCUCAGUUAGGUCCAGUGUGUUAAAUGCAUCCUUUAAAGAUUCUAUGUGCUUACUGAUGUUUGUUUAUUUUUCAGUGGCUGAGACACAGAUAUUAAAGUUUCCCACAAUGAUCAUCAACUUAUUUCUUUUUUUUCAUUUGUUAAGCUUGUUCUGUGUGUUUUAAGGUUAAGUUACCAGGCAUAAACACAUUUAGAAUUCCUUUUUCUCCCUUCUGGUUGCACCCUUUUAUCAUGAG